rnacentral:rRNA from 1 species
GGUUGAUCCUGCCAGCAAUCAUAUGCUUGUCUCAAAGAUUAAGCCAUGCACGUCUAAGUAUAAGUAAUUAUAUGGCGAAACUGCGGAUGGCUCAUUAUAUCAGUUAUAAUCUACUCGAUUAAUUUUUUAAUUGGAUACCUGUAGGAAUUCUAGAGCUAAUACAUGCAAAAAGACUUGAUCGGGGCAACUCGAGAUGGUCGCGUAUACUAGAUGAGGAACCAAUUUGGGGGGCAACUCCCAACAGUAGGAUGAUACAUAGUAUCAAAGCGAAUCGGGGGUGAAGACCCUCGAU